UGGUUCUGGCAUCGAUGAAGAACGCAGCGAAAUGCGAUAAGUAAUGCGAAUUGCAGAAUUCCGUGAGUCAUCGAAUCUUUGAACGCACAUUGCGCCCCCUGGUAUUCCGGAGGGCAUGCCUGUCCGAGCGUCAUUAUCCAAUCUCAAGCUCGGCUUGAUGGUGGACCCCACCGUCUCGGCGGUUGGCUCAAAAGACAAUAACGGGCCCCGGGCACCGGUGAUACACUGAGCUCUUUAGCACGUAUCCCGGCGCCGCGGGGCGCGUCUCAACCCAUCUCAGGUUGACCUCGGAUCAGACAGGGUUACCCGCUGA
rnacentral:misc_RNA from 1 species